UCAAUUUCAAGUUGAUGACUAUAUUAUGGAAUGAUAUUGACAAUACAAUAAACGAUAAGCUAAACUUGGACAGAUGAGUCACACACCGCACAAAUUUUUGCAUCAAUAUGUUCUACCAUGCCAGAAACUGUCCAACUAAUGCAUGACAAAUCGCUGUGAAAUGUCAUAUCUGUUCAACAAAUGGAAGUCCCCAAUUUAUCAUGCUGCUUCAGCACCAUAACCACACUUUAAGACCUAAAUAAUGCCAUCCCGACCAAGCAUAUGAUCAAGGUUUGAUUAUCUAGCUGAGAAAAUGAUCAUAAAUUAAUUAGACAAUUUUUUGGUUAAAAUAGAAUGUGACCCUACAAAUUUUCUGGACAAACAAAAGAUAUCACAUGCUAAUCUCAAUCCUAGAGCAAGAAGAUGAAAUUUCAAGUAACAGAAGAACUAAUGUCGGAAAAUCAUUACACUAAGAAGACAUUGCAUAAUUAGGACCAGGUUUCUCUUCAACCAGCUUAGCAAACGCACAUCUGGUCCUCAUAUUGUAAAUUUUCCAUUCUCGUAUAAAGAAACAGGGGAAUUUUUUAUUUUUUAUUUUUUGAUAAAUGAGUUAUCAUGUUCCUGUAAACAACUCUCUACACAAGCGAAUGGUCUCAUCAUUAAUCUCAAAAUGUUUUGAUUCGUAGAAAUGCUGUAUUUUCUACAAUUCAUUCCCAAUAAAUCUCUAAACUUCCAAGAAUCAUGUUUUGUUAAAAAUCCCUUACUUCAAACACCCACAUCAAGGACCCUUCACAGAGCACCAAAGUCACCUAGCUACUAUUUAUUAAUAAUUUUUACUUCAGUUCUAAUACAACCUAAUCCCCAUUAAAUCAAAGAAACCAAAGAUUUUGGAAUCCUUUAGGAUCCUCUUCUCUUCCUAAUAUUUUAAAUCUUCUAUUUCAUAAACAAUGGGAUAAGAAAAUCUUUAGAAUGCAGAAAUUCAAUGAUAUCUUUUUCAUGAAAAUUAAAAAUUUUAUCGUACCAAUUGAUUUGGAAAUUUGCAAGAGAUUUUCAAAACUGUAAAAAGCCAAACAGAGAAAGUUUACAUUGUGGUUUUUCAAAACCAGACAAAACCCAUGCAAUAGAAGACAAAAAAUUGUGGAUGGUGAUUUAUUAGGAUCUUAACUAGAUAUGAGCAAAAACAAAUAGAACUCCAAAAUCUCGGUGUUUCCAGAGCCCAAUUACAUUUCCUUGUUAAAAUCCCAAAAACACUAAAGAUGAAUUAACUAGACAUUAAAUAGUUUUACAGACAGAAGUUGAGGGAAUAUGUUUUUGAGUGAGCAUCAAUACUUCCAAAAUUUUGGAUGGUUGAAUAUCUCUUGCUACUAAUGGUAAAACCAUAGAAAACAAGCAUAGUUAAUAGGGUCUUAAACUUGAAAAGUACAAGAAUUUCUGCAGGGACGACGGAUAUGCAAAUUCUGCAAUACUCAAAGAUAAAUGAUAGUUUCUCCUACUCUCGUAUUCUCCAGAGGCUUCUACUAAACGGUAGCUUCUUGUUUUAGAUGUAAAAUCUAGAAAGAUAAAUGAAUGUUUUGAGUUUUACCGGUUGGAAGAGAAAUUUGAUAACCUAACCUCGUUUGAUUAUGAAAACAGUUAUGACUGCUGUUUUCCCCUUUCUAUCACAUUGUCUUUCUUGACAAGAAAAGUAAGUACAAUACCAAGGCAGUGCCACCAAUGGUAAAAGUAAGGAUUACAAGUCUAAAAGUCAUCUACAUCUUCCUCCGAAGGGGAGGAUGAUCCUUGAACAAGAAAUAGAAGGUCUCGAACCAAAAGACCUCCAGUUGGAGAAGAAGGAAUGCACUCCCCUAAGUCCUCUUGUUUCUCUGGACAAUAAUAAUUGUCUGCUAAAUCCUACAUUCUACUCUAACUCUUAUUUUCUGCUUUAGAUGCUCCUAUUAAUCAUAAUUCUUUCCUCCCUAUAUGCAAUAUGAAGAGUCGGUUUUUCUUGAUUUACUGCCACCAAAAAACCACAUAGGUAGAUUAUCAAAAUCUUCCCUGCGUCAAGCAAUGAUUGUGACCUCCUUCAGAAACAACCCAAAAUCAUGCCAUUAAGAGAUCUGUAUUUGGCCCAAGUUCUGAUCCAUUGACUUCCUAAGGAACUUAAAAAAUAAAAAAUUAUAAUCUAAGGCCACUAGAGGACAUACACUGGAAAUUGAAGGACAACUAUCAUCCAUUUUCAAUUGUCAGUUACUGUAGGCAGCCCAUUCUUCUCUGUUCCUUCCAAAUCAAGAAGAAUUUUUUUUCCAUCUGGGAACAGUCACAAAGAAUACGACGCCAGCAAGGUUACAAUCACCAAAUUUCUGGAUCUGUUUCACCCACUAAAAUGCACAAAUUUCAAAAUUAAUUUUACUAGACAAUACAACUAAUCACAAACUGUAAGAUACAUCUAAAUGAGACAACUCCCAGUACUUGAUUUCUGAACAAUUAUCUUUUAGAUAAGCAGUGCUCUGAAAAUUGUGGCGCGUAACUGAAUCAAGGAGUUGAGAAUUUUUUUUUCCUGUGAUCAGAAACCAACUAUUUAGCUGAAGAGCUCUUUCUUCCUUUCAGCAUUAUGACACAUAAUCCAAAGAACACCAUGUAAUAAAGAGGGAAUCAGAUUAUGUAAGAGAAAUAAUAUCACCUUGUGCAUAUAGUGAACUAAUACCUAUAUUAGUUAAACAGCAAAGGACCAUCUAUAUCCAUAUUGGGAUAAUUAUCACAUUCCACAAAUGUAAAACUUGACAUAAAGCACAGACGAAACAGAGACAAGUUAAAGACUAGAUAACAGCAAAAAUAACAAUAACAUAAAAGCCUAUCAUCGAAUUCACUCCACUUCCUACAUCUGUCAAAUUCUGACAAUUGGCCGUAAUACAACUUAUUGCCAGUAUUGGCCACACUUCUAUAUAUCUAGAGAGAGAGACAGAAAGAGAGAGAGAGAGAGAGAGAGGGAGAUAUACACACAUACUUGCGUACGCACAUAUACACGUAUAUUUACUUCUCACAUCUUAAACUAAACUCACUAUUCUCUAUCUAGACUUUUCAUUUCACUUGGCUCAACUUUGCAGAAUAUCUUCUUCCUACAAUGGAUCCAAGAUUCUUAUCAACACAUAACCAAAGUCUUACACAUAAAUACCAAUAAUUCAUACACGUUUCAAUUUUCGGCAUUAAUCAUCAUAAAAACCAUCGAGGGGCAACUCUUUAAACAAUCGAACCAGGAAUUUACCUUGAUAAACCAUAGAAAGUUCUCGUCAGGAAAAAUGUUAAUGUACAUAAACUACCUAAUUUUCGUGAGACAGAGAUUCAACAACACUUGUCAUUUUCUCUUCUCGACCAAUUUAUGAUGUUUACCAAACAGGUGUUUUCAUGAAUAUUUUGAAUCGCAUGUCAUAAGAUCACCGAGAAACGUUUUGUUUCUGCAAAUUCCAGCAGCGGAAUAUUAACGUCUGCGUAUGAAAAAAAAAAAAAAAAAAAGCACUUACAGACUUUGAAGCUCACUCGAAGAUGAACCCUCCAUGCGAAGUGCGCGAGAAAUAAAUUUUCCCGGUUCCCCUUUUUAUAAGGGCGCAUUUGAAUUUGAGUCUGCCUCCAAUUUUACUUCU
rnacentral:lncRNA from 1 species